UACGGGGGGUGCAAGCGUUAUCCGGAUUCACUGGGUUUAAAGGGUGCGUAGGUGGGUCUGUAAGUCCGUGGUGAAAUCUCCGAGCUUAACUUGGAAACUGCCAUGGAUACUAUAGAUCUUGAAUACUGUGGAGGUUAGCGGAAUAUGUCAUGUAGCGGUGAAAUGCUUAGAUAUGACAUAGAACACCAAUUGCGAAGGCAGCUGGCUACACAAAUAUUGACACUGAUGCACGAAAGCGUGGGGAUCAAACAGG
rnacentral:rRNA from 1 species